rnacentral:rRNA from 1 species
GUCCACGCCGUAAACGAUGGAUACUAGCUGUUGGGGUUUACCUCAGUGGCUAAGCGAAAGUGAUAAGUAUCCCACCUGGGGAGUACGUUCGCAAGAAUGAAACUCAAAGGAAUUGACGGGGCCCGCACAAGCGGUGGAGCAUGUGGUUUAAUUCGAUGAUACGCGAGGAACCUUACCAAGGCUUAAAUGUAGAUUGACAGGACUGGAAACAGUUUUUUCUUCGGACAAUUUACAAGGUGCUGCAUGGUUGUCGU